AUACCUUCUCGGCCUUUUGGCUAAGAUCAAGUGUAGUAUCUGUUCUUAUCAGCUUAAUUUCUGAUAUAUCGGACACUGUCCGAUUGAGAAAUUAAACUAAUUUUUUGAUGGGGGCAAGGGGUUCCCCUCGUGCUUGCGCGAGUCCCUUGCCACGGGUUGCCCUGCUAUUGCACUACCGGCAGGCGCGGCCCAACCCAC
rnacentral:snRNA from 14 species